UACGUAGGUGGCAAGCGUUAUCCGGAUUUAUUGGGCGUAAAGGGAACGCAGGCGGUCUUUUAAGUCUGAUGUGAAAGCCUUCGGCUUAACCGGAGUAGUGCAUUUGAAACUGGGAGACUUGAGUGCAGAAGAGGAGAGUGGAACUCCAUGUGUAGCGGUGAAAUGCGUAGAUAUAUGGAAGAACACCAGUGGCGAAAGCGGCUCUCUGGUCUGUAACUGACGCUGAGGUUCGAAAGCGUGGGUAGCAAACAGG
rnacentral:rRNA from 1 species